AAAAAUAAAUGAAAAGGGAAAAAAACCAAGGGUCUGCCUGACACACUGUAGUAUGGCAGGCUAUGGUAACAUGCCCCAGAAACUUUUUAUUGAAUCCAGCCUUUCACUAUAAAAGAAUUCAUUAACUGCUUCAUGAUGCAAAGUCUGCUAAAGACAUUACCCUCAGUGGCCAGCAUGGGGUUGUUCCCAUACACUGUGAGCACUGCUUUCACUGAUCACUGCUGAGUCCAAGGUCACAUCUAUGAGUCACUGUUAUCCAGUCCUGGGCACCAGUGGGAUGUCCAUGCUUCCAACUCAAGAUGGCUCCACAUCUCUGCCCACUGUUGCCCUGCUCAAGUCAGGUCUGGAGAGCUCAGCUCAGGAGAAGUGUGAAGUCGGUGUUUAAAUCAGCUGGUAUUGAGUCUCUUGUGCGCUGAACUUCCUCCCCUCUCUGCAUAAGGACUACCAGGGGUGCACAAAACCCUUCUCCUGCCUUCCCCAGCAAAUUACCUGUGCCACACACAUGUUGCACAAAUUGCACAAAAACCACUGUGCCAACCACCAGCUCAAUUCUGUAUGGUUUGGUAUACCCACCCUUGGGGCAGUGCAACAUCUACUCUAAUGAAGUUAUCCCAGUGUAAAAACUCCACAAACAAUAAUGCUACAUGAAUGUAGCCUCUGUUACUGGGGAGCCGCACCUUUGAAAAUGUUAUUUUUAAGGGCUGUAAAAAAGGCUGGGGCAAGAGGAGGCAGCCUGACUCUGGGAACUGCUAGAAUCUUCCCAUCAGUUUAUGAUUUCCAUUCACUAUCAGUCAGUUUGCACUCCACUGGUGCAUGUGGUGCUGAAAGAGAUGCACUAGUGGAUGUUUGUUAUAUUUAUGAACCAGGUGGCCCUAACUGCCCCAAUUACACUCGCUGCCUUCCAUUCAUCACGCCGCCUUAAUGAACAGAGAGGCUGGCGGAUGUCAAACAAGCAGCCAGAAGAAACAAAAGAGAAGCCAGGCACAGUGUCACCCGGCUUGAACCAGCCCACCGGUACCUCUCACGUGGCUGUAUCCAUUCAGCUCCCCUGCAAAUCCCAGCGUGAAUGAACCACAGCCACUGCAGAGCAAACAGAUAAGAGUCCGGAGGAAGUGAUCGAUAUAUUUAGAUAACGUGUAACAAGAACACGCAGCAACCUGCCUCCUUUUCCAUGCUUGGAUAAAGAGGAGAGGAAAAUAAAAAUCUCAGUAUUGGCUGCUUCAGGCUGAGUCAUUCUUUGACACUACGGUUAAUCGGCACCACUGUAACCAUGGAGUUAGCCUAAGUUCAGGAUAACACGGUGGCCUUAUUAAGAAACUCAAGCACAGAAAUACAGUUGGAAAGUCCUAGUUCUCCUCAGCAAAUGAAUCUUUUGAACUCAGCUCAGCCACCUGCACCUUCACGUUCACUGUUUUUACAGAGCAGAUGCUGGAGGUGUAAAAAUAAUUCAAAAUAUGUUAGUCAUGCUUGAAAUGGUCAAAUGAAGAUUAGAGAAAAACCCAACAGUUUAAGAGAAUGUGAAGGGACAUUAAAAGAAGGGACAAAGUCAUCCCCCAGCCCUUCUGCCUCCAAGCCACCUGCAAUCCUGAACACAUCCCUCAAUACCUCUUUCACAGGACAAAGAUAUGAGGAAAAAAUAAACCAAACAAAAGCACGAGGAACAACUUUAACUGCACCUCGAGAGAGGCGGAGGGGGAUAUUGUACACAGAGACCCUGAGAACAGCUUGCCUUGUGCAGGUGCAAAAUUCCCUUCUCCCCUGCCCAUGCUGGGAGUCAUUUCCAGGGGUCUGCCCAGGUGGUUAUGUGCUGCUACCUGCAGAUAAAGAAACCCCUGCUAAAGUGAAUCUUAACUGUACAGCCCAAUGCUCUGCAUCUGUUCAGCUUGGAUGGGUUCAGUGGUUCAGUUAAUGUAAGCUCAGGCUAGUCUGAGCCUGUUAAGUGCUCAAUUAAGCCUGAUCCACUGCACCUCUUUAUUUCCUGCGUAGCUGGAUUCUGUUUUUUCCAUGACACAAGCAUUUCCCUAACCUUUUGGAAAAGGCAUUUAGCUGAAAAGCACGGAGUAGGAGGAAGUUGUUUGCUCUUGGUAUGCUGUGCCGGAAAUAAAGUCAACAUGAUAGAUUA